rnacentral:lncRNA from 1 species
CGCUUUCUAAUGGUUGAUUGAAGAUCUUCUUCACUUCUCUUAGACCCUCUCAGAGAAGAAGAAGAUUUGGAGAAAGAAGAAGAGGAAGAUGAAGAUGGGAGAAAUCCUUUCUCACGUUUCUUUUUCUCUCUUCCCAAAACCCCACGCCAAGAAGGGAUGCAUGCCUAAGAUGCCUCACGCCCAACCCCUUUCUCUCUUCUUUUUUCAUGGUAAAAAACUAUUUUUUUUUCUCUGAGCCCAUGCCC